rnacentral:tRNA from 1 species
GGAGAGGUGUCAGAGUGGUCUAUCGUGCAUCCUUGGAAAGGAUGUGUACCUUCAUCGGUACCGGGGGUUCGAAUCCCCCUCUCUCCGCCA